UGAGGGUUGAGGUGUGAGCUCAGCUGUUCCUGGCAUCGCAUCUUCCUUCCACCGUCGCACACUCCAACCUUGGGAACUCUUCCAUCCACAGCCGUUAUGUCUGCUGCCCAAUGCCUCCAACAUCGCAGACCCUGACCCUCUGGAAUCUUGGCUCCAAACAAACUCCUCCUUCUACAGGCAGAGCCAAGAACACUUCCUGGUGUUCCUGCUGGUCCCUCCUGCUGACCCGACUCUGCCGAACAGGACUGCUGCUGUAUUCAUGAAGUGCUUGCUGGUGGAUCGAGCUGCCACAGCCUGCUGGCCUAUGAACUGAACUGCAGAUUUCCUGACAAUGCAAACCGGAGUUGCUCCAAAGAACCUUUCUAAACAGGUCCAACUCCCCCACCUCCACCCCCCACCCUACCCCCACCAGUCUCCUUUCUUUUCCACUACCUCUGGUGGGUGGUAGGCUACAAGGGAGGUUAAAGCAUUUAAGAACCAUCAUUAAAACUAGGAUUUUAAAAAAUUACAGUUUUGUUCCCACCUCCCACAUGCCAGCUCACAAUCACCUGUAUCGCUGGGUCCAGGGAACCCAGUGUCCUUUUCUGGUUUCUGCAGGCAUCAGGCACACACAUGCAGACUCACACAGGCACACCUUCCAAUAAGACACUCAUACACAUACAAUAAAUACAUAGAAAGGCAUAAUGACUUAGGCAACUGGGAAAACUGUGUACUCACUGAUUAUUA